CACUUUAUACAAAAAUGAACUCCAAAUGGAUCAAAGACCUAAAUGCCAGAGCUAAACCUAUAAAACUUUUGGAAGGAAACAUAAAAAAAAACUUCAUUU